rnacentral:rRNA from 1 species
AGUGAACGCUGGCGGUAGGCCUAACACAUGCAAGUCGAACGGCAGCACAGGAGAGCUUGCUCUCUGGGUGGCGAGUGGCGGACGGGUGAGGAAUACAUCGGAAUCUACUCUGUCGUGGGGGAUAACGUAGGGAAACUUACGCUAAUACCGCAUACGACCUACGGGUGAAAGCAGGGGAUCUUCGGACCUUGCGCGAUUGAAUGAGCCGAUGUCGGAUUAGCUAGUCGGCGGGGUAAAGGCCCACCAAGGCGACGAUCCGUAGCUGGUCUGAGAGGAUGAUCAGCCACACUGGAACUGAGACACGGUCCAGACUCCUACGGGAGGCAGCAGUGGGGAAUAUUGGACAAUGGGCGCAAGCCUGAUCCAGCCAUACCGCGUGGGUGAAGAGGGCCUUCGGGUUGUAAAGCCCUUUUGUUGGGAAAGAAAUCCAGCUGGCUAAUACCCGGUUGGGAUGACGGUACCCAAAGAAUAAGCACCGGCUAACUUCGUGCCAGCAGCCGCCGUAA